UUAAAAACCUGAUUUUCUCUCUCUCUCCUUCCUCUCUUCCUCUCUCUCUCUCUUCUCCCUUCUUCUUCUUCAUCUUCUUCCAUAUCUUUCUUCUCCCUUCUUCAUCUUCUUCAUCUAUUAUACUGUGACGAGUGCGAAGAAAAGAAUUAGCUCGAAAGGUUGCCUCUCAGUCAGACUUCAUUAAUCUCCCGACUAUCAAAAGGAGGAAAAUAGGUCUUAGUGGCGGGGAAGGUUCUUGGAAGCUUAGAGAAUGUGUAUUGAGGCGGAAUGGAUUCAAAGAGCCGAGAGUUUCGAUUUGAGGAUGUAGUUUUGUUUUUAUGGCUUUUACAUGUAUUUUUACGCAUCUUAUUACGUAAAUCACUUUUUAAUAAUGUCAUGCUUUGAUUUUAAAACAAUGGGAUCCCAUAUCCUACUUAUUAUUUUAUGUAAGUUCAACAUUUCCUUUUUACAAGUUUUAAUAAAGUUAUGAAUUUUUUUCAA